GCUCGGGUAGCUCAAUCGGUAGAGCGUGUGGCUCUUAUACAAGCAGCAUUAUCACAAACCUCAAGGUUGCGGGUUCGAGUCCCGCCUCGAGCU
rnacentral:tRNA from 1 species